rnacentral:rRNA from 1 species
CAUGGUUAAGUGGGAAACGAUGUGGGAAGGCCCAGACAGCCAGGAUGUUGGCUUAGAAGCAGCCAUCAUUUAAAGAAAGCGUAAUAGCUCACUGGUCGAGUCGGCCUGCGCGGAAGAUGUAACGGGGCUAAACCAUGCACCGAAGCUGCGGCAGCGACGCUUAUGCGUUGUUGGGUAGGGGAGCGUUCUGUAAGCCUGUGAAGGUGUGCUGUGAGGUAUGC